AACGAACGCUGGCGGCAUGCCUAACACAUGCAAGUCGAACGAGAUCUUCGGGUCUAGUGGCGCACGGGUGCGUAACGCGUGGGAAUCUGCCCUUUGGUUCGGAAUAACAGUUGGAAACGACUGCUAAUACCGGAUGAUGACGAAAGUCCAAAGAUUUAUCGCCAGAGGAUGAGCCCGCGUAGGAUUAGCUAGUUGGUGUGGUAAAGGCGCACCAAGGCGACGAUCCUUAGCUGGUCUGAGAGGAUGAUCAGCCACACUGGGACUGAGACACGGCCCAGACUCCUACGGGAGGCAGCAGUGGGGAAUAUUGGACAAUGGGCGAAAGCCUGAUCCAGCAAUGCCGCGUGAGUGAUGAAGGCCUUAGGGUUGUAAAGCUCUUUUGAUUUCCCAUGAAGGGAGAUAGAAUAAGCAUCUACAAACUACGUGCCAGCCGCCGCAGUAA
rnacentral:rRNA from 1 species